UGGGGAAUAUUGCACAAUGGGCGAAAGCCUGAUGCAGCGACGCCGCGUGCGGGAUGAAGGCCUUCGGGUUGUAAACCGCUUUUGAUUGGGAGCAAGCGAGAGUGAGUGUACCUUUCGAAUAAGCACCGGCUAACUACGUGCCAGCAGCCGCGGUAAUACGUAGGGUGCAAGCGUUAUCCGGAAUUAUUGGGCGUAAAGAGCUCGUAGGCGGCUUGUCGCGUCUGGUGUGAAAGUCCAUCGCUUAACGGUGGAUCUGCGCCGGGUACGGGCAGGCUAGAGUGCGGUAGGGGAGAUUGGAAUUCCCGGUGUAACGGUGGAAUGUGUAGAUAUCGGGAAGAACACCAAUGGCGAAGGCAGAUCUCUGGGCCGUUACUGACGCUGAGGAGCGAAAGCAUGGGGAGCGAACA
rnacentral:rRNA from 1 species